AGGAUGAAGGACAACAACCAACCAACCAAUAUGAAUAUAUUGGAAUCUUGUUGGACCAUGAGAAAUGAUGAAAGGGAAGGAAUUCGGAGAAACCUGAGAUGACUUAAGUAUUAAUGCAGAUUGAACUGAGAGUCUAUUCUCCUUGGCAAAGAAAACAAAGUGAAGAAUCCAGCAGCCCCAUCCUUCUCUCCAUAAUCCAUUGCCAUGAUUCUACUUAUCCUGAGCAGCCAACCAGUCCCUUAUUCAAUCUUCCUCUUUCCUCCAUUGUUUCUACAUUGCUGAAGGACUUCAAGUACUGUCAACCCCCUUUAAAUUGAACUUUCUCUAAAUUCGGUGCCUUCAGUUGAUUUGCCCUAUUAGGUGCGCUCUGGCAUCACACAAGAGAAAUGACCAGCCCAGCUCAUCCUCUCAUCAAAUCACUGAAGAUGAAAUGAAUUUUAAAACAAUAUCCCAGGUGGAUUACACAUUUAGCUACUUAACAGGAGACUUUGCCGGGACCCUCAUUUAUUAUUUUGAAAAGCAAAGCCAGUUACUGCCAAUAAUUAAGUACAGCCUUGUCCGGGUCUCUGUUAUUUUAUACGCUUUAAAGCAGUAGAUUCCGUGGCUAAUAGCCAGCCUCCCUAUUGUAUCCUGAACUUGGCUUUGAAAAAACUUCUGAUAGCUUCCCACUGAGCCAAAAAUAAAGUUAGUGAUCUCCUUUUCAGCAAAGGUCAGGCAAUCCAUUAUUCUGCCAUAUUAUAAAGUAAAAUAAAAGACAGAAACACUAGGAUUUAAUUUUGGCUGUUUUCUCUUUGAGAUUAGGUUAAGUGACCGAGAUGCUAAAAGCCUCAUAUCUUGUAAAAUCAUGUGCCUCCCUCUGUCUGCUGAUUUGGACUGGUUUGGCUGCAAGUUGCAUUCUGAAAGGCAUUUAAUAGGAGUCUAAAGUGUACAAAGACAUCUCAUGUGUCUUAUAAGAAGAGGCACACUUUCAUAUCGAAAAUGGCUUUAAAAUGUCUUUCUUCCUCCAGAGAUGCUCUAAAGGCAGAAUUAGAGUGUUAACCUAAACAAUAGAUCUGCGUUUCAAGCAUUAAUUCCCAGUUUAAAGGAAGAAAAUCCCCUUGCCUAUAGAACAGGUCAGAAUGUUGAUUUCUCAUAUCCAGAGCCCUAGAAAGGAGUGUCUGAAACAUAGAGAACUAUUUUCUCAGGAAAAUGCCUUAGUGAAUCAGAGAAAGGGAAAAGGUAUUUGGUUUGAGGAUUACUACAUUCCCUACCAUGCCCAGAGCUGAUCUUAUCCAAAUAAUAUAAUUGCAUAGAUAUUAGUUAGGAAAGCCCUGAUAUCCUCCUAAAGACCACCCAAUUAUUUCAGAUUUGGAAUCCCACCUCUGGAAUCCCACCUUUGCAACACCUAGAUUUCCCACUCUUACCCUUCCAUGUCCCUCUGCCUGCUCUCUCCCAAGGUACCAUCUCUCUUUUCUGUUAAAGAGGGAAAAAAGGGAAAAGAUUCAACAAAACUGAUCAAUACUUUGAAAAAAAUGUAUAUUUACUUUAUAUGUAAUGUUUUACACCCUUUAACCUCCCCCUCUCCACCCUCUGCAAAGGAGUAGGGAGGGGGAAGUAUCUUUCUUUUUGAGACCAAGCUUAUUUCUACAGUUUUACAUCAUUCUUUUUUAUUGUUAUUUGGUUGUUGUGCUUUCAUUUACAU